rnacentral:rRNA from 1 species
CAGUAGCCGCGGUAAAACGUAGGGCGCAAGCGUUAUCCGGAAUUAUUGGGCGUAAAGAGCUCGUAGGCGGUUUGUCGCGUCUGCCGUGAAAGUCCGGGGCUCAACCCCGGAUCUGCGGUGGGUACGGGCAGACUAGAGUGAUGUAGGGGAGACUGGAAUUCCUGGUGUAGCGGUGAAAUGCGCAGAUAUCAGGAGGAACACCGAUGGCGAAGGCAGGUCUCUGGGCAUUAACUGACGCUGAGGAGCGAAAGCAUGGGGAGCGAACAGGAUUAGAUACCCCUGUAGUCCCUGUCUCUUAUAC